AACACUGUUAACCUGCGGUACCUGCGGAGGGAUCAUUACCGAGUGCGGGCCCUCUGGGUCCAACCUCCCACCCGUGUUUAUUGUACCUUGUUGCUUCGGCGGGCCCGCCAUUCUGGCCGCAAAGGGGCACCUGCCCCUACGCCCGCGCCCGCCGAAGACAUCUCGAACUCUGUCUGAAGAUUGAAGUCUGAGUGGGAUUACAAAUUAGUUAAAACUUUCAACAACGGAUCUCAGAUCGGA
rnacentral:misc_RNA from 1 species